CCUACGGGUGGCAGCAGUGAGGAAUAUUGGUCAAUGGACGAGAGUCUGAACCAGCCAAGUCGCGUGAAGGAGGACGGUCCUAUGGGUUGUAAACCUCUUUUAUCUGGGAACAAAACGUUCCACGUGUGGGCUCUUGUAUGUACCAUAUGAAUAAGGAUCGGCUAACUCCGUGCCAGCAGCCGCGGUAAUACGGGGGUUCCGAGCGUUAUCCGGAUUUAUUGGGUUUAAAGGGGGGGGAGGGGGGUUGUUAAGUCAGCGGUGAAAUCGGGGGGCUCAACCCCAUCCCGCCGUUGAAACUGGGGGUCUAGAGUGGGAGAGAGGUAUGCGGAAUGCGUGGUGUAGCGGUGAAAUGCAUAGAUAUCACGCAGAACCCCGAUUGCGAAGGCAGCAUGCCGG
rnacentral:rRNA from 1 species